rnacentral:lncRNA from 1 species
CGCUGGAAACUGUGCGAUCAGAGUCCCGGUUAAUAUUGUAUUUUUAACCGUUGAUUACGUGAUUUCGCGGCGGGUAGUGACGACACUGGAUGUAACUGCAACGGACCCUGACCCAAUGACAACAUGACCGUUAUCACAGAUAACACGGUCACGGUCGAGGAAUCUAAAACAGAGGAUGACGAGCCGCCGUUACUCGCACACUCCGAGACCCGGACAGUCCAGGUUUUCGAGAAUGAUGACGUCACUUUAGUGUGCAAAUUUGCCGAUAGGGGUGGUGACCCCACAGCUAUCACCUGGACACGAGGGGAUGUUCGGCUGAUCGGGGAGCGGUUUCGGAUGCGACACGCGUCGAAGGCGCGCUCGCUGACGAUCCAGAAAGCCAGGCAGGAUGACAGCGGCGUCUACAGCUUCGCCGCUUCGAACCCCUUCGGCGAGGCCAACGGGAGCUUCGAGCUUUCGGUCAAGCCGCAACACCCCGCCGCUCCCGUCUUCCUCAGACGCCUCUCCGAUCUCGCCGCCAAAAUCGGCACCAGGACCCGAUUCCUGGCCGAAAUCACCAGCCCCACUCAAAUUAAGGUAAGGGGAGUCGGACUCCCUAUGCUAGCCCAUGUUAAUUUAUCCAACUUCAAUUUUCUUUUUCUCAGAGUCUACUGGGUCUUUUUUCAUCCGGUUUGUUUUGUCGGGUUCCCGACACCUUCAGGAUGAAUUUAACACGGGGGUUUUCCAAAAUUUUGAAAAUUCAACUUUUAUGAAUUUUUUCAAUUUGGUCAUAUUUUUUUUCAAAAAUAUUGACUUUAAAGUAUCCUCAAAAUUUGAAAAAUCAAUUUAUCAAGAAAAGCCCGUGUUAAAGUGUGCAGAAGAGUACAAGGAAUCAAACAAAAAAAAAAAGCGUGAAAAAAAACCCAGUAGAUCCUGAGAAAAAGAAAAUAUGUGUCAAAAAUUGUGAUUGUCGGGAAUCAAGGGUUAAAGAUUCAGUAAGACUUUUGGGGUAGGUAUAGUACUGUUGGGACAACGCACGACCUUGACGCAUUCAAAUGUUCCUCCCGCCUCAACCAAUGGUCAGAAUGAUUUGAUCUUGGUCUCAUUUUAAUCCUGAGAGUAUGUAGAAAAUAGUUACACAAAAAACUGAAAAUCAUAAAUUUUUCGAAUUUUUCGUGUCCGACUCCCCUUAAGGUGAGGAGCAUCCACAUUUUCCAUAUGUACUGCCGUGCUAAGAAAGAACGCUGCAAAGUGGAUCGAGUC